AUUGAACGCUGGCGGCAGGCCUAACACAUGCAAGUCGAGCGGAUGAAGGGAGCUUGCUCCUGGAUUCAGCGGCGGACGGGUGAGUAAUGCCUAGGAAUCUGCCUGGUAGUGGGGGAUAACGUCCGGAAACGGGCGCUAAUACCGCAUACGUCCUGAGGGAGAAAGUGGGGGAUCUUCGGACCUCACGCUAUCAGAUGAGCCUAGGUCGGAUUAGCUAGUUCGUGGGGUAAAGGCCUACCAAGGCGACGAUCCGUAACUGGUCUGAGAGGAUGAUCAGUCACACUGGAACUGAGACACGGUCCAGACUCCUACGGGAGGCAGCAGUGGGGAAUAUUGGACAAUGGGCGAAAGCCUGAUCCAGCCAUGCCGCGUGUGUGAAGAAGGUCUUCGGAUUGUAAAGCACUUUAAGUUGGGAGGAAGGGCAGUAAGUUAAUACCUUGCUGUUUUGACGUUACCAACAGAAUAAGCACCGGCUAACUUCGUG
rnacentral:rRNA from 1 species